rnacentral:rRNA from 1 species
GACGAACGCUGGCGGCGUGCCUAAUACAUGCAAGUCGAGCGCAGGAAGCUCACGGAACUCUUCGGAGGGAAGUGAAGGGAAUGAGCGGCGGACGGGUGAGUAACACGUAAGGAACCUGCCCCAAGGAUUGGGAUAACUCCGAGAAAUCGGAGCUAAUACCGAAUAGUUCUUCAGACCGCAUGUCUGUGAUGAUGAAAGGCGCUUCGGCGUCACCUUGGGAUGGCCUUGCGGUGCAUUAGCUAGUUGGUGGGGUAAUGGCCCACCAAGGCGACGAUGCAUAGCCGACCGGAGAGGGUGAUAGGCCACACUGGGACUGAGACACGGCCCAGACUCCUACGGGAGGCAGCAGUAGGGAAUCUUCCACAAUGGACGAAAGUCUGAUGGAGCAACGCCGCGUGAGUGAUGAAGGUUUUCGGAUCGUAAAACUCUGUUGUAAGGGAAGAACAGGUAUGAGAGGUAAUGCUCAUGCUAUGACGGUACCUUACGAGAAAGCCACGGCUAACUACGUGCCAGCCGCCGCCGUAAUAC